rnacentral:lncRNA from 1 species
ACCUUUUCACAAUAUAUAUUACACAUCGCAACAUUUUUACAAUCACCACUCCGACAGCCAUUUAAAACUUUACUUCCAAAGGAAGAAAGAAGAACAAAAGAAGCAAUUGAUGACGAAAUCUGAAAGAUUGGUAAGCACUAAACCUAAAUCAAGCGACAAAUGAAAACGCACAAAUACAGAGCAUUGUUGGAGAUCUUGGUGACAGCCACUAAGUUUCUAACUGCAAACAAAUGCGUUGAUCUUAGUUAUAAUUCCAUCAAUUGGGUUUGGCCUACUUGGGUCUCUUCCUUGCACCACACGAAAACAAACGAAGGAGAGAUUGGAGCAAGGACUCAAAAACCAUUCUCUUUACGGAUUUCCUUGGAGCAGGAAUUACCGUUGCAAACGCUUCCUUCUGCUUCAUCAUCAUUGUCUCGAACUUGUUGCUCCCUCCUGCACCUUGAUUCAUCCC